GAUGAACGCUGGCGGCGUGCCUAAUACAUGCAAGUCGAGCGAACGGACGAGAAGCUUGCUUCUCUGAUGUUAGCGGCGGACGGGUGAGUAACACGUGGAUAACCUACCUAUAAGACUGGGAUAACUUCGGGAAACCGGAGCUAAUACCGGAUAAUAUUUUGAACCGCAUGGUUCAAAAGUGAAAGACGGUCUUGCUGUCACUUAUAGAUGGAUCCGCGCUGCAUUAGCUAGUUGGUAAGGUAACGGCUUACCAAGGCAACGAUGCAUAGCCGACCUGAGAGAGGGGUAGGCCACACUGGAGCGUAGACACGGUCCAGACGCCUACGGGAGGCAGCAGUAGGGAAUCGUCCGCAAUGGGCGAAAGCCUGACGGAGCAACGCCACGUGAGUGGUGAAGGUCUUCGGAGCGUGAAACUCUGUUAUUAGGGAAGAACAUAUGUGUAAGUAACUGUGCACAUCUUGACGGUACCUAAUCAGAAAGCCACGGCUAACUACGUG
rnacentral:rRNA from 1 species